rnacentral:sRNA from 1 species
GGGUGUCCCCUUCCUCCCUCACUGAUCCAUGUGCAUCCCUCUUGAAACUGUGUGCUCUGUGGAAGAGGACGAACUUUUCUGCAUAGAGGAAGGCCAGUCUUUAUUAAGGGUAUACAAGUAGUUGCGCUCCUGUGCUAGAACCCCCAAACAAGCUUAAGAUCCUGCAUGCAUCUUUUACUAUUCCAGAAAAAGUGAUCCUUGAGGCUUUAUGGCCACCUGACUAGCCAA